GCAGUGGUGGUUCAAUGGUAGAACUCUCGUGUUUCAUGCAGGAGACCCGGGUUCAGUUCCUGGCCAUGCA
rnacentral:tRNA from 1 species